rnacentral:rRNA from 1 species
UACGGGGGGAGCAAGCGUUGUUCGGAAUCACUGGGCGUAAAGGGAGUCUAGGCGGUUUGGUAAGUGGGAUGUGAAAUCCCCGGGCUCACCCCGGGACCUGCAUCCCAAACUGCUGAGCUUGAGUACAGGAGAGGGUGGGGGAAUUCCAGGUGUAGCGGUGAAAUGCGUAGAUAUCUGGAGGAACACCGGUGGCGAAGGCGCCCACCUGGCCUGCUACUGACGCUGAAGCUCGAAAGCUAGGGGAGCAAACGGG